GCCCAGUGCGCAAGAUUCCCCUACUGCUGCCUCCCGUAGGAGUACUCCUACGGGAGGCAGCAGUGGGGAAUAUUGGACAAUGGGGGCAACCCUGAUCCAGCAAUGCCGCGUGAGUGAUGAAGGCCUUAGGGUUGUAAAGCUCUUUCGCCCGCGACGAUGAUGACGGUAGCGGGAGAAUAAGCCCCGGCUAACUUCGUGCCAGCAGCCGCGGUAAUACGAAGGGGGCUAGCGUUGUUCGGAAUUACUGGGCGUAAAGGGCGCGUAGACGGUUAUGUAAGUCGGGUGUGAAAGCCCCGGGCUCAACCUGGGAAUUGCAUUCGAGACUGCAUAGCUAGGGUGCGGAAGAGGGAAGCGGAAUUUCCGGUGUAGCGGUGAAAUGCGUAGAUAUCGGGAGGAACACCUGUGGCGAAAGCGGCUCACUGGACCAUUACUGACGCUGAGGCUCGAAAGCUAGGGGAGCAAACAGGAUUAGAUACCCUGGUAGUCCUAGCCCUAAACGAUGAUUGCUUGGUGUGGUGGGUACCCAAUCCCACUGUGCCGCAGCUAACGCAUUAAGCAUUCCGCCUGGGGAGUACGGUCGCAAGGCUGAAACUUAAAGGAAUUGACG
rnacentral:rRNA from 1 species